rnacentral:rRNA from 1 species
AAGAACGACUCUCGGCAACGGAUAUCUCGGCUCUUGCAUCGAUGAAGAACGUAGCGAAAUGCGAUACUUGGUGUGAAUUGCAGAAUCCCGUGAACCAUCGAGUCUUUGAAUGCAAGUUGCGCCCGAAGCCAUUAGGCCGAGGGCACGCCUGCCUGGGUGUCACAC